rnacentral:rRNA from 1 species
GAGCGAACGCUGGCGGCAGGCCUAACCCCUGCAAGUCGAACGAACCUUUCGGGGUUAGUGGCGGACGGGUGAGUAACACGUGGGAACGUGCCUUUAGGUUCGGAAUAACUCAGGGAAACUUGUGCUAAUACCGAAUGUGCCCUUCGGGGGAAAGAUUUAUCGCCUUUAGAGCGGCCCGCGUCUGAUUAGCUAGUUGGUUGAGGUAAUGGCUCACCAAGGCGACGAUCAGUAGCUGGUCUGAGAGGAUGAUCAGCCACAUUGGGACUGAGACACGGCCCAAACUCCUACGGGAGGCAGCAGUGGGGAAUCUUGCGCAAUGGGCGAAAGCCUGACGCAGCCAUGCCGCGUGAAUGAUGAAGGUCUUAGGAUUGUAAAAUUCUUUCACCGGGGACGAUAAUGACGGUACCCGGAGAAGAAGCCCCGGCUAACUUCGUG